CCCUACGCCAGUUACUGGCCACUGAAUCUAGGUGGGGCCCACCACCGCCAGCGGUGCUUGCCAAUCCAUGCAACUGCGAAGCGCGCCUGGACCUUAGCAGACCGCGAAGGGCGUCAGAGCCGGCAGCUGCGGGGCGCGGGGAGGCUUGAACUAUUUGGGGGCGACCCGCGCGGCGCAUCGCCGUUUUAAAUCCCUCCCCGAGGUCCCUGGCACGCCGGAGCUGGACGGGAAUGGAGUUCCAGAACCACACGCCAAAAGCCCCGGGACUGAAAGGAGCAGUUUAAACCAAAAAAGCCGCCCCAGCUGUACAAACGGGGGAUAAAGUCCACAGGUGACCGAAACUGCUGAAAGGGAAAAUAUGGAGCCCACAGGAAAGCUGCUUCCUUGUAUGUACAUGGAUCUGCCAGUUGAAGAUCCACGCCUAUGGAUAUUGGCAUCAACAUUCCCUCCGCACUAAGGAGAACUUUGCUCAAAGUAUCUCGCCGCUGAAUGUUUUGUCCUCCUGAGUUGAGCGGCAUGGCAAGUUGGCUCUUAGGGUUCAUUUCCUUUGGACCCCAAAAUCCAGGGCCUGAUACGGCAAGGAUCCCGGAUGCCUCUUGAGAUGAAGGGGAUUUCUUCAUGAAAGUGCAGAGAAAAGGCCAGAGUAACAUGACUUUCCUGUUGAGAUUCUCUCAGAAGUUCCUCCGCUUUUCUUGGGGCUCCUCACAUGUGAACCAUGCAGAGUCAGCAGCCGUGUGACACAGCAAGAAAUAAUCUGCCCAGCUCUGGGGUCAAAGACAUUUCUAUCCCACGAGGCGAGAAGGACAACAGGGUUUAUUUUCCCCUUUGACGCAUCUCGGAAGCAAUAUGCAUCCCAUCUUCUCUGGAAGAACUGUUUCAUGCUAGCAGGUUCAAACUUCUUCGUUAGCGACUGUGGCCAUCUUUCCAAAAGCUAUGCUCUUGUUCAGCCACUUGUUCCUGGGUGGAACUUUAUGGCCUGAAUUACGCAGGUCCGAUUUGAUGAUACUAAUGGUCCCUCCUGGACAUACAUGGAGGGAUAAUAUAAUAAAUUCUGGCUCAUGUUGGCUAACCUCCCCCAAAUUGCCAGGCGCACACACUAAGGUGUAGGCAGUGCAACCUAGUGGUCACAGCAGAAUCAGCAGGCAGAGCCAGACAAGCCAAUGGCUGGAGCCAGACGUCAGAACAGAACCAAACGGGAUAGCCUGAGUCGUGGUCAGGAGGCAAGCCAGUGGUCAGAGCCAGGAGGCAGGCGGGGCCUAGGCUGGAGCAGAACAGGCAAAGGGGGGAGCAUGGGCUAGACAGGAAGCAGGUCUGGUGCAGCUGCAGGCAUGGGGCACAUUGAGCAGCCACUGUGUAGCUGUUGCUACAGGGUUUAUAUAGUGAUCUGUUGGCUCUUCUGACCAACCAGGAAGCACAGUCACUUAAUGCAGGUUUAUUGGACCUAGCCCAGUCCGGAGGCAGCUGAGUUCCUGGCACACACGUUGCAAAAGUGACAACAUCAUGUGCUCAUCUGCUCCGAUGUCACCAACUCUCAUGGUUUUAACAUGCGUCUCACAAUAGUUGGUCUUUCUCUCAAAGCUCCAGCUCCUGGAGUCAUGGGGUUAAACGUUCAUUACAAAAUCAAAGCAAGUUUCUAGCUCUCAGUUUUGUGCAGAACAGCUUGAAAAUAUGACCCAAAUGCAUCUAAAAGGCUCACAAUCUAGCAGGCAAAUAAAAAGAACCUAUUUAAAAAAAAGCAUGAAUUUUAUGCCAUUCUCAUGAUUUUAAAGCGUGUGACUUAUGAUGUGUGUAUAUUUGGGGUUGGCACUAAUGGCCCAGCCUGACACAAAGCUCACUUGAACACUGUAAUGCCAAGAGUAGGAAUAAUUUAAGGAGCAGUUGCAUGCUCCAAGCAAUUGUAUAUGUGGGGAAAUGACUUUCCCCCUUCAUUGGUUAAGCUGCUGGACUUUCAGCAUAAGGGAGUUCCAUGUAACCAAAGUUCAGCGGCGAUUUGUUUAAAAAGGUGAGGGACAUGAAGGAGCAGAAAAGGCUCAGUUUCAUCGUGGUCCAGUUCCUUCCAUGAUGAAGCCACAGACUACCCACAGAGGAGUUUCCUCCACAACUUGGGGAGGAAGUAGGAUCAAGGCCACUUGUUUUCUGCUAUGCAUGGCAGGUGCUGCAGUCACCCGUCAGAAUCUGGCUCAGAACCUUCAGGCUGCAGCUAAGUCUUGCCAAAGCAUUUUCCAGAUUGUCUGAAAGUUAAUGAGCUCUCUUACUUUUUUUUCCCUUCUUUUUAGCAUAUUGGCUUAAACCAUCAAAUAUCAUGGGAAAUGCUGAGAAUUAAUGUAAUGUAAUGUAACUAUUGGCCUUUAUCCAUCCAGGGUCUUUUCCUGGGGUUAUUAAUGCCUUUGCGAGGGGAAUUCAGGGACAUAUGCAUUCUCUUUUAAAACAUCUACGUGGAAUUUUCACAGAAAAGAGAAGCAGGUAUUUUAAUGAUUUUGUACAAUGACUGAAUCAAAAUCGAAAAUACCAUGGUCUCAUUUUAACACUGUAUUCUGGUUAUCUUAUGACACAAUGAGGAAGUAGACACAAGCCAGCAUUUUUCACACGUUACCCAUGAGGAGAUGGCGGAGAGAGAUUAAGUGACUUGCUCCAGGGCAGAGAUCUAGGAGCCAGGAUCCAAACUCAGGAGUUCCUGGCAUUCAGAUCUGUGCUCAGCCCACCCGUCACUCUAGCAUUCUACGUCUGUUUUAAAAUUGGUUAUAGAUGCAGGCCAAGCAGUGAAUCAGCUACUAUAAACGGGAUGGUGUGCUGUUGGUAAAUUGUUGUCAUUAUAUUUCCAGCAAUGGUAACUACCUGAAGGAAAGCACUUAGAUACUAUACAAAGAAAAAAUAUUGUGUGUGAGCCAUUACCAGUUCAUGGUUUACGAGCCCGAAUUAAAAAAAAAAUUCUUCUCCUGUUUAUAGAUUGGCUUUUAAUGUGAUAGUGUUUUUUUGUUAAAUUGUAUUAAUUAGAAAUUAAUUUCAAAUUACCCUUACCCUGACCUGCGGCUAGUCUUAGUAUUUGUACUUAGGAACAUUAAAACCAACUUUGUUAUCAUGCAGUGCCUCAGACAAUUCAAAAUCUCCUCGCUGAUUUAUGUGGGCCUUUAUUAGUUAUUAUUACAUGGCACCAGCAGCCAGGGUCCCUAGUCAAGGAGCACCCCUUUGUGUCAGGUGCUGUACAGACAUAUAGGAAGAAGACUGCCCCCAAGAGCCCACCAUUUAGGUUAUGAGAAAGUGUAACAGGCGGGUGAGAAAAAACAAAUGAGGGAGAGGGACAGGCAGUGCCAGGUACCAGGAAAGUAAAUGAUGUUGCAUCGUCAUUGUGAUGCCCAUCAUUUAUACCAUGGGCAGUAAUAAUCAUGCACACGUGAUAGCCAGAUUCCCUGAUCCGUCGUGCUAAACUUUACUGGAGCUAGGCAACAUUUUUCAUGCAAAUCCUUUUUUUUCCCAAAAAAACAAAAAUAAAAAUUGCAGAGUUGGGUUCACUGAACCCAUUUGUGAACUUUGGUCAAUUUUGGCAGUGUUUCAGUUGAGAAAAGAAAAAGAAAAAAAAGAAAAAA